GAUGAAGAACGUAGCGAAAUGCGAUACGUAAUGUGAAUUGCAGAAUUCAGUGAAUCAUCGAAUCUUUGAACGCAUAUUGCGCUCUCUGGUAUUCCGGAGAGCAUGCUUGUUUGAGUAUCAGUAAACACCUCAACUCCCCUUUCUUUUUUUGAAAUGGGAGCUGGACUUGAGUGAUCCCAACGCUUUUCUCACCGAAAAGUGGCGGGUUACUUGAAAUGCAGGUGCAGCUGGACUUUUCUCUGAGCUAAAAGCAUAUCUAUUUAGUCUGCCUAAAAAACAGAUUAUUACCUUUGCUGCAGCUAACAUAAAGGAGAUUAGUUCUUGUGCUGACUGAUGCAGGAUUCACAAAGACAGGCUUCGGCCGACUUUGUAAACUCGAUCUCAAAUCAAGUAAGACUACCCGCUGAACUUAAGCAUAUCAAUAAGCGGAGGA
rnacentral:misc_RNA from 1 species